ACUUAUUAUUAUACUAAUUUUUAAGAUCAUAAUGUUUUAGCAUGGAUUCUGAGAUGUAGAAUUACUUGGUUAAAAGGCAAAAGCAAGUGUAAAAUGUUACAUUUUAAGAGUUUUAUAGGAGGAAGACUCAAAAGAAAUAGCUGAACCAGAAAGUAAUGGUAGGCAAGAAACUGAUGGGAGAGAGAAUUUCUAGAAGGAAGUGUCAGCAGUAGUAAAUGCCACAGAGAGGUCACAUAAACAAAGGAUGGACAAGCCCAUGGGUUUUGGUGAUGGGAGGUGUUGGUAAAAUGGUAAGAGUUAGCCAGGCCAUAAUGAGCUGAGGAACACAUGAAGUGGAUACAGUUUAUUCCAGAAUCUUAGCAAUUAGAAGCAGAAAAGAAAAGGUUAUUAGGUAGAGGAGGUGCAAAAUUGAUGCCCACGAUGAUGUUGUGGGUUGUUUUUUUGUUUUUGUUUUUAAUGGGAGGGUUUUAAGCACAUUUGUGGGCAUAGGAAUUAAUAACCAAUUGAACAGACGUUUGAGGAAGUGAGUGAAGAUGGGGGUCCAGAGCUUUAGGGCCACCUCCUUCUCAGGGACUGGUAAAAGGAUGGGAGUGGAUGUAGGGGCUGAAGGAGUUUCUCCUCAGGAGACUUUGGUUUGCUGUGUAAGGCAGAAGACAAGCCUGAGAGUGAGGAGAAUGAUUGAAACAUCUCCUGCCGUAGGUGGGAGUCCAGGGAGCUCAAAGACAAGUACGCUGAUUCCCAAGU
rnacentral:lncRNA from 1 species